UGCACUUGGAAAGCGUGCAGAGUAGAAAAAUGUCCUUAAGAAAAUAAAAUCUCACAGCCAGCUCAUUUUCUUCUCUUUGUGUUUGUUUGUUUGUCAUCCCAGUUGGAAGCUGAACUCAACUUGAGCCUGGAGAGUUCCGAAAGUGUGGAAGGAACGAAUUAGACUCAUCCUUCAAAGACUGUAGACAUGGAUCCUGUGGAGAGGCCUGUCCAUCCGCUUCCCCAGGAACUAUUUAUUCAGAACCAAUCAAGUCAAAAGCAAAUCCAACGAAGCAGAAAACAGAGGCACCUUGACUGUCAGUGUCACUCAGAAGAUGGUUUCUGCAUCUGUCAGAACACAGUAAGCAAAUUGUAGUCCCUUCAUGUGGCCCGAGACCAAGGGCAUGCGUUAGCUCUUUAUUAGUGCUCUCCAGUGUCUGCAGCUCUCU
rnacentral:lncRNA from 1 species